rnacentral:rRNA from 1 species
GGAUUAGAUACCCUGGUAGUCCACGCUGUAAACGAUGCAUGCUAGUUGUUGUCCCUUUGGGGGCAGUGACGCAGUUAACGCAGUAAGCAUGCCACCUGGGGAGUACGUUCGCAAGAAUGAAACUCAAAGGAAUUGACGGGGGCCCGCACAAGCGGUGGAGCAUGUGGCUUAAUUCGAUGCAACGCGAAGAACCUUACCUAGGCUAAAUCUCGGGCGACCGCCCUCCGAAAGGGGGCUUCCCUUCGGGGCGCCCGCGAAGGUGCUGCAUGGCUGUCGUCAGCUCGUGCCG